CCUACGGGCGGCUGCAGUGGGGAAUAUUGGACAUUGGGGGCAACCCUGAUCCAGCCAUGCCGCGUGUGUGAAGAAGGCCCUCGGGUUGUAAAGCACUUUCAGUGAGGAAGAACGCCUGGUGGUUAAUACCCAUCAGGAAAGACAUCACUCACAGAAGAAGCACCGGCUAACUCCGUGCCAGCAGCCGCGGUAAUACGGAGGGUGCGAGCGUUAAUCGGAAUUACUGGGCGUAAAGCGCGCGUAGGUGGCUUGAUAAGCCGGUUGUGAAAGCCCCGGGCUCAACCUGGGAACGGCAUCCGGAACUGUCAAGCUAGAGUGCAGGAGAGGAAGGUAGAAUUCCCGGUGUAGCGGUGAAAUGCGUAGAGAUCGGGAGGAAUACCAGUGGCGAAGGCGGCCUUCUGGACUGACACUGACACUGAGGUGCGAAAGCGUGGGUAGCAAACAGGAUUAGAUACCCCAGUAGUC
rnacentral:rRNA from 1 species